AGGAGUGUAGUUUAAUGGUAGAAUAACGGUCCCCAAAACCGCAGAUCACAGUUCAAUUCUGUGCUCUCCUG
rnacentral:tRNA from 1 species